CUUUGUGAUUUUCUCAGUCAUAACCCUCAGUGGAAAUACAAUUUUAUUUGUCCCAGGAGAUUUCUUUUUACCUGCUUAUAACUGAAGAGGCUGCGACUUCAGAUUCACUCCCACUGGAAAGAAAUAACCUGACUCUGGAAAGUAUCAAGGCCUCUGUCUUUGACACCUGACAGCUCACAAUAAAGCAGAAGCAAAGAUCCAACAAACAUCACAGGCCCUGGACAAGAGAGAAAGGUUUGAAUGCCUGCUUAUGAGCACAGAGAAAAUGAUGUAUGUACUCAGACAACAUGGUAACUGGACAAAGUUGUUCCAAGAAGAGGGAACUGACCUGUGAGCCCUGCCUAGCAAGGGCUGAAGAUUUGUGUCUCAGGUUCACCUGUAAUUCAUUCCCCAAACCCCAGUAUGGUCCAGGCACACACCAGUCAAGAAGCACUUCAGUAACUUACAUUGUUAACUUAGCGAUCAAUUAAGAGCAGGAUGCUCUACUCGUAUUCCUGCACUGG